rnacentral:rRNA from 1 species
GACGAACGCUGGCGGCGUGCUUAACACAUGCAAGUCGAACGGAAAGGCCCUGCUUUUGUGGGGUGCUCGAGUGGCGAACGGGUGAGUAACACGUGAGUAACCUGCCCUUGACUUUGGGAUAACUUCAGGAAACUGGGGCUAAUACCGGAUAGGAGCUCCUGCUGCAUGGUGGGGGGUGGAAAGUUUCGGCGGUUGGGGAUGGACUCGCGGCUUAUCAGCUUGUUGGUGGGGUAGUGGCUUACCAAGGCCUUGACGGGUAGCCGGCCUGGGAGGGUGACCGGCCACAUUGGGACUGAGAUACGGCCCAGAGUCCUACGGGAGGCAGCAGUGGGGAAUAUUGCACAAUGGGCGGAAGCCUGAUGCAGCAACGCCGCGUGCGGGAUGACGGCCUUCGGGUUGUAAACCGCUUUCGCCUGUGACGCAGCGUGAGUGACGGUAAUGGGUAAAGAAGCACCGGCUAACUACGUG